GGUUCCGAAAAUUUUCAAAGUAUCGAUACUACUCUGGUAUCGACAUUAAACUUUCUAAUAUGGAUCAUCGGUUUAAAUGCCCAUAUUUGUUUUGUAGAUAGUACAAAAGUUAUUGAAAAUAUCGAUACUACUCGGGUAUCGAUACUUUUUGGUGAUCACUAAAUUUGUUUUUAAGCCAUUCAUUUUGUUUAAUGGCGUCCAGUCAUCGUUUGUCACCCUUGCAGUAGAAAUCGUUUUACGUACUCCUAUAAACUUACAACGUUUGACUACCAUGGCGUCUCCGAAGCCCAUUGUUUGAAGAGUUAAGUGAAGUGCAAGUGUUGGACUCAAAUUAGCCGCUUGUCACGGCCUCCUCUUCUGCGCCGAUCCUUGACGAACCGGUUGCUGGUCCUAGUGGGCUGACUAGUCCUGGCGAGGAAUUUGCUGCGAUGCCCAGACUUACUAGGUCAUCUGGCAGAAGGCUUAAUCCUUACUCGGAUGAGUUAAAAGGCCCAUUCUCGGACGGAAGAGGGAACCUAUGCAAGGAUAAGGAAGAAUCUUCUUUUGAUGGUAUACCGCAUUUUGAGUAUUUUCCCUACCAUGUUUUGGCAAAGUACAACACAAAAUCGUCAAUAUGACUUACCUGUAACGCACGGCCGCCGCCCUAACGACCACUUGUCGCUGGAUGAGACAAUGAACUGCUGCAGGUAUCGGGAGAAGAUCCAUCAAAGUCUAAUACUCCAGGUGAAGACAUACAGUUUGAUCUUGCAGUAAGCUUACACUUUACAACUUUUAUCUAAGUAUUCUAAUCAAUGCACCCAAUUUGAACCCAGAGGAAAAGACCGCAAUCUCAAACAGGAUUAAUAUAGGACGCAGGUUUCAAAUGAAACCAAAUGCUACAGCUACUUCUUGUUUAGCAGAGGCCACUCACAGUGUUCUUGUCUGCGGAAACAAGAAAUAUGUACCUAUUAAAAUUACUUAUGGAUACGGAUUCCAAUGUGACACACAAUACCAAGACUCAGUCACACGACACAACUUUAUUCUAUAUAGCCUUAAAAGAUCUAAAAGAACAACUUCAAGGAACAUAGGUAUACAAGUACCUAUUCAGUAAGCGAUUAGUUGACUACAAGCUCGCAUCAAAAUCAGAAAAGGACAAAGAAGGUCAAAAAGAAUUUAAUCAUAGGCAAAAGGGGAAUCCAGGAUGAAGGAGCUUGCUCACAGCCUACUAUAGGCAGUCGAGUCCAGCGCCGCGCGCGCCACCUCGCGCUCACUGGUAGUUUAUCAAAGAAUGUUAUUCACUUAUUACUUGUGAUACAACUCUAUUAUCGUGGAUAAAAGGUUAUAAAAUACCUUUUUCUUGGUCAGCGAUGUUCCUAAAAGUAAACUAUAUUCAGAGACUGAACAAAGCAAAUUCGAACAAUCUAUAAAUUACAACAAAAACACUCCCGCACAAGGCGUUAACCGACAGAUAACCGUUUGGCACCGUUAGGUGGCUAUCUGAGGGCCGCAGGUAAACCCGCGUUCAUAAAUUGAAGC